GUAAGCUCUUCACUGUUUUACAUUUCUUUCCUUUUCCGUCUUACUUUCCCGUUCAACGUCAUCGAUUUGGGGUCUAGGGUUCCUGGUUUCUUCUCCCUCCCUUUUACUAAAUUCAAUGCAACCAAACUCAAUAAUACUUCAAAUCUGCUCUUUCACUACUCGUUAAUCACUGGAGCUGAGGGUAAUUUGGGAAGUCCAGUGAAGGUUGGAGGUUUGGUUGGUGUUGAUCGGAAAACAAGUGAAGACGGUGGGCAAAUGCCGGAGGAGGACUUGAUAGAGCUCAAAUUUCGGUUGUACGAUGGAUCAGAUAUUGGUCCUUUUCGCUACUCACCUGCUUCCACCAUAGCUAUGCUUAAAGAGAGAAUUGUCGCCGAGUGGCCCAAAGAUAAAAAAAUUGCACCCAAGGCGGCAAAUGAUGUAAAAUUGAUAUGUGCUGGCAAAAUCUUGGAAAACAGCAGGAGUGUUGGUCAAUGCAAGACGCCUUUUGGCGAGCUACCAAAUGGUAUAAUUACCAUGCAUGCUGUUGUACAACCAUCUAUAGCUAAAGCAAAAUCAGAGCAUCUAAUGAAUGUGGACUUACCAAGUUCUAAGGAGUUCCGUUGCCACUUCUUGUUAAGUUGCAAACUGUCGUAUUUUUGUAGACGCAUGUAUAAUUGUUCACCGUCUAUGUGCGUAUCUUGAACCUUGAGAGAGAGCUCUGUAUUUGAAGAUCUGAGGUGGUCCUGCUACACGCUGUCCCCUACUCUAGCCCCCGGUUGCCAAUUCUCAGUCCAGGAAAAGAAGAUUGACGAGACCCCAAAGAAAAGCAUCUGUUCGUGCUCCAUAUUGUGAGAUUGCAAGUGUGAUUCAGUUUGACCUUGUGGUAUUCAUGGGGUUACCUGCUCUUUUAGUCACUGAGUUAAUAAUCUGUAUGUACCUCAUUAUUACAUGUUUGUUAAAAGGCAUUUCUAUGUAACUAUUGCAUGUUCCUAUUAUCACGUUUGUUCUAUAAAGUUGGCAUCUUUACAUUUGUA